GCCCCUGUGGUGGAACGGUAUACACAGCAGGUUGAGGGCCUGUGCCCAUUAGGGCGUGGGGGUUCAAAUCCCUCCAGGGGCACCA
rnacentral:tRNA from 1 species